rnacentral:lncRNA from 1 species
AAAAUACUAUGUGCUUUCAUGUCUCUUUUGAGUCAGAAAUCUGUAUUAGUAUUUCUCUUUCCUUUUUUUUUUUUAGAUGAAGUCUUGCUCUGUCGCCCAGGCUGGAGUGCAGUGGCCUGAUCUUAGCUCACUGCAACCUCUGCCUCCUGGAUUCAAGUGACUCUCCUGCCUCAGUCUCCUGAGAAUGAGAGGCCCACAGCUCCACGUGAAUGUCACUAUUUUGGAAGUCGUGUUUCUUAGCUUCCUUGAAGCAAGGAGCUCUCCCUCAAUAUGUACCGAUAAGCGAAAACCUGGCUUCUGCAAAUGUUCUGCUAUGGAGGAUCUCUUAGUUCUCCUCAUCCCAUGGAAUGGGUACUUGGAAGUAGCACAUUACACCAGAGUAAUAAAAAUUCACUCGGGAAGCGCUACACGCAUUGUUUUAUCAGGGAAAGAUUUACGUCUUUAG